rnacentral:lncRNA from 1 species
UUUAUCGACAUUUAUAAUUUAUUAUUGGUAAAUAAUAAUAUUUAGCGGUAUUUAUUUUUAAAUGCCGAUAAAAGAUAAUUUAAAUAUCGGUAGUUAUUUUUAGUGCCGCUAAGAGUAUUUAAUUACCGGCAUUUAAAUUUAAAUAUUGGUAAAAGGUCUUAAAUUCUAAAUAUGUGGAUUCCCAAUAUUUUCCUCUCCCGCCUCUUUCUUCCACCUCACCCUUUUGUUCUCGUCCGAUCAUUAUCUCCCCAUCCUUUUAGGAUUUUUUCCCAAAUAUUUUCCUCCCCAUCCUU